rnacentral:lncRNA from 1 species
AGGAUGGGGAAGGUGGGGAGCAAGGACCGUGUGGAGUGAGGCUGACACCUGUUGGACGCCGACCCCACUCGUUUUAACGGGCUCUGCUGGGAGGUGUAAGGCCAAAGGGUGGAAGCAUCGCUGUUCCUAACAGCACUGAGCUCUGUAGGGGCUGGGUGUCCUGAUGUGUGGGUUCAGACCAUGUUGUAGUGAUACAAACCCUGCUGUGGGUCACAUCCUUUGGGUGCUGGGGCUCAGCACAGCACUAUGGAUGUUCUCACUGAGCAGCUGUGGGUGCCCAGAGAGGGCAAACCUGAGCUGUGCCUGGGAAGGCCACCCGUGUGAAUUGCCCUUCUUGUCCUCAGAAGAAGACGAUGGGGUCCUGGAAGGGCUGGAGGAGUUUUUCGCUGAGGAACAAGUUGCUGUGCAGAAAAAAAAGAAAGCCAAGAAGCUGAAAGAUGGCAAAGUGGCCAAAAUCAAGAGGAGGAAGAAAGAGUCAUCACUGCCACUCCCUCUGGGACUUGUAUGAGCAGAUUGGCUGGAUGAGGUGGCACAUCGAAGUGCUUUUGCUGCCGACAGGAGCAUUAUGUGCUGUGGAUGUAAAAGAACCUGACUGACUCCAGCGUGCGAUGACCUGGCAGCUGUGAGCAGAAGCCCAGAGGAGUCUUUUCUCCUCCUUCGUGGCCAUGGUGAUGUUCUGUUCCUGCAGAUACCACACAAAGCUGGCUCAGGCCGCCUCGCUUCCUGUGUGUUUUGCAAUGUAGGAUGUGUUUUCUUUCCCUCCUGUGCUGCUUUUUAAUAGAGGAAAGAUAAGAUACAGACGUGUGCUAUGUUCAUUCCUGGCAGUUCUACGUUCAUGUCAGCCUACCUGAGGCUAUGGGAGCAACAUGUGCAGCCUGAGCUGUGUCUGACUGCUUCCUUAUGGGGGGUGGGGGGAAAUUAAUGGGAUGGAUGUCGAGGGUGUUUUCUUCUUUAAUUAACGCCUGGUGCGGGCGGUGUUAAUCAGGCUCAGUUCUGCCUGUCAGAGGUUGUUCUGUCUUCCACCAAAGCCAGCGAGGAGCUGCAGUUCUGUGGGUAGGCACUGAGCUGUGUUUCUGAGCAGCACCCAGGCUGCAUUACCCAGUCAGAAGGUAAAAGAAAAAGAAACCUUCGCUUUGGGUUUUCUUUUCCUGAGCAUCUUCGUGGAGGCUGUGGGGUGUAGGAUGUUCUCUCCUCCUAUUAAAGGAAAUGAGAGAUGUGGGGCUGCCUUGUGAACCUGCACCAUGAUGUUGGUGCUUACACCAUGGCUGUGUUGCUUUUAAAAGGGAAUUUGCCUGUUUAACCUCCUUGCAGCUCAUUGUGGUGUUUGUGGCAGUGCUCCCUGAAGCUCUGGUGCUACACUUGAUGCUGUGAACCCCAAAAAGAUCUGCAUGAAUUAACCGGCUGCUGUUUGAUCCUCAGUGUAUGUAGAUGAAGGUCCUCGUCAGGCAAGAAAGCAGGGAGAGUGGGAAUUUCAACCUGUACUGCAGUCGUUGCCAUGGCAACCAAUU